CAAAAGGCUCUUUUCAGAGCCCCUCAAUUCUGCUAAAAGAUCUGU
rfam:Pteropus alecto contig104229, whole genome shotgun sequence.